rnacentral:misc_RNA from 1 species
UUUCCGUAGGUGAACCUGCGGAAGGAUCAUUAUUGAAUAAACUUGGUUGGGUUGUGGCUGGCUCCUCGGAGCAUGCGCACGCUCGCUCCAUUUUUAACCACCUGUGCACCUUGUGUAGAUCUGAAUAACUCUCGGGGAAACUCUGUCAGGGAAUUGCUGUGUGUAAAAACCAGCUUUUCUUGGGUUCAGAUCUAUGUCUCUAUAUACACCAUAAGAAUGUAUUGGAAUGUAAUUGACAGGCGUUACAGCCUUUAAAAAUCAAAUACAACUUUCAACAACGGAUCUCUUGGCUCUC